AGGGCAAUAUGCACGGUU
rnacentral:misc_RNA from 1 species